UACGGAGGGGGCUAGCGUUGCUCGGAAUCACUGGGCGUAAAGGGUGCGUAGGCGGGUCUUUAAGUCAGGGGUGAAAUCCUGGAGCUCAACUCCAGAACUGCCUUUGAUACUGAAGAUCUUGAGUUCGGGAGAGGUGAGUGGAACUGCGAGUGUAGAGGUGAAAUUCGUAGAUAUUCGCAAGAACACCAGUGGCGAAGGCGGCUCACUGGCCCGGUACUGACGCUGAGGCGCGAAAGCGUGGGGAGCAAACAGGG
rnacentral:rRNA from 1 species